rnacentral:rRNA from 1 species
GACGAACGCUGGCGGCGUGCUUAACACAUGCAAGUCGAACGGAAAGGCCCUGCUUUUGUGGGGUGCUCGAGUGGCGAACGGGUGAGUAACACGUGAGUAACCUGCCCUUGACUUUGGGAUAACUUCAGGAAACUGGGGCUAAUACCGGAUAGGAGCUCCUGCUGCAUGGUGGGGGUUGGAUAGUUUCGGCGGUUGGGGAUGGACUCGCGGCUUAUCAGCUUGUUGGUGGGGUAGUGGCUUACCAAGGCUUUGACGGGUAGCCGGCCUGAGAGGGUGACCGGCCACAUUGGGCCUAAGGUACGGCCCAGACGCCUACGGGAGGCAGCGGUGGGAAGUAUUGCACAAUGGGCGGAAGCCUGAUGCAGAAACGCCGCGUGCGGGAUGACGGCCUUCGGGUUGUAAACCGCUUUCGCCUGUGACGAAGCGUGUGUGACGGUAAUGAGUAAAGAAGCACCGGCUAACUACGUG